CCUACGGGAGGCAGCAGUGGGGAAUAUUGGACAAUGGGCGAAAGCCUGAUCCAGCCAUGCCGCGUGUGUGAAGAAGGUCUUCGGAUUGUAAAGCACUUUAAGUUGGGAGGAAGGGCAUUAACCUAAUACGUUAGUGUUUUGACGUUACCGACAGAAUAAGCACCGGCUAACUCUGUGCCAGCAGCCGCGGUAAUACAGAGGGUGCAA
rnacentral:rRNA from 1 species